rnacentral:rRNA from 1 species
GACGAACCGUGCGAACGUUAUUCGGAAUCACUGGGCUUAAAGCGCGUGUAGGCGGAUGGGGACGUCGGUUGCUGAAAUCCCCCGGCUCAACCGGGGAACGGGCGCCGAAACGCCUCGUCUGGAGGGACGUAGGGGGACCUGGAACUUCCGGUGGAGCGGUGAAAUGCGUUGAGAUCGGAAGGAACGCCCGUGGCGAAAGCGAGGUCCUGGACG